GACGAACGCUGGCGGCGUGCCUAAUACAUGCAAGUCGAGCGGAUGGAAGGAAGCUUGCUUCCUAAAGUCAGCGGCGGACGGGUGAGUAACACGUUGGCAACCUGCCCCUAAGAUCGGGAUAACUUCGGGAAACCGGAGCUAAUACCGGAUAUGAUUAUGUCUCACAUGAGACAUAAUGGAAAGACGGUCUCGGCUGUCACUUAGGGAUGGGCCCGCGGCGCAUUAGCUAGUUGGUGAGGUAACGGCUCACCAAGGCGACGAUGCGUAACCGACCUGGGAGGGUGAACGGCCACACUGAGACUGACGCGGGCCCCAGAAUCCUACGGGAGGCCACAGUAGGGAAUGAUCCGCAAUGGGCGAAAGACUGACGGAGCAACGCCGCGUGAGUGAAGAAGGUUUUCGGAUCGUAGAACUCUGAUGUUAGGGAAGAACAAGUACCAUAGUAACUGAUGGUACCUUGGCGGUACCUAACCAGAAAGCCACGGCUAACGACGUGCCAGCAGCCGCGGUAACAC
rnacentral:rRNA from 1 species